rnacentral:lncRNA from 1 species
GGCGGGGCCCGGGGAGUUCACGCAGCUGGCAGCGCCUUUCCUCUGCGCUGGUGGGCGCCGCGGUAGCGCGAACGUCCCCUGAUUUCGGGUGGGUGGGAAGGACAAGUGGCAAAUGAUCCGGAGAGGUGGUCGUCCAUUCGUGCUAGGCUUUGAAGAAAGGGUAGUAGGAGUCUAUCGAUCAAAGCAGAGCCUUGGUGGGCGGAGUGAAGAGCGCGUGCCAAAACGGCAGGCCCGGACUGCCCGGAGGAAUGGGCAGCAGCUCUUGUGGUAGCUGGGGGCCCGAGAGAGAGAGAGAGAGAGAGAGAGAGAGAGAGAGAGAGAGAGAGAGAGAGAGAUGUGUGUGUGUGUGUCAGAGAAGAGCAGCUAGAAGGAGCACUUUACCCUAGCAGCAAGGGAGGACCAGUGGAGAACACCCUCAGACUUUUAGAGAGAACGUCCUUGUCAAGUAGAGCUAAGAGUCCAUAGGUGUUACCCUCCUGAGACACAAGGACCCCUCAGUGAGAGUCCUGGAACUGAAGAGAGGAGAGAGCCCCGAGAGUGCCAAGGUGAUAGGAGUCUAGAGAAAGCCAGAUGCUGUCUGAAGGGAGAGUCUGGUAGUGAGAAAGAGCACCACCAGAGGGUGGCUGGAGCAGUGUGGUGCCCCACGUUCAUCUCCCACCUCCGCCCCAGUCCCUCCUCCAGUGCACUCAUGACUCCUGUCUUUUGCCUUUGGCACCUCAUACCCAUUGUAUGCUGCAGGUCAACCAUUUAGCAUGCUAAUAAAGGGUUCCUGCACAUCUAGGGGCCCUUGGCUUUGGUAUCAGCACCAACCACUACAGCUAGUGCCCUGACUCUGAAGCUCUCUUG